rnacentral:rRNA from 1 species
CUAGCGACUUCAGAGUUUGAUCCUGGCUCAGGAUGAACGCUGGCGGCGUGCUUAACACAUGCAAGUCGAACGAAGCACUUUUGAUUGAUUCUUCGGAUGAAAGAGAUUGUGACUGAGUGGCGGACGGGUGAGUAACGCGUGGGUAACCUGCCUCAUACAGGGGGAUAACAGUUAGAAAUGACUGCUAAUACCGCAUAAGCGCACGGUAUCGCAUGAUACAGUGUGAAAAACUCCGGUGGUAUGAGAUGGACCCGCGUCUGAUUAGCUAGUUGGUGGGGUAACGGCUCACCAAGGCAACGAUCAGUAGCCGGCCUGAGAGGGUGAACGGCCACAUUGGGACUGAGACACGGCCCAA